AUAUUCGCUUCGAUUUUUGGUUUCUUAUUUCUUUAGUAAAAUUUAGAAUUAUAGAAUUAAAAGGGAAUUUGGUGUAAAUCCAAAGCUGUUCCCGCAACUGUAAAGCUUGUAAAAGGCUUCAUUAAUAAAAACCACUGUAGUAAUUACUAUGGGAAGGUAAAUGAAAGCUAAGCUAAGUCAGGAGACCUGCCAAUAUUACAAUAAUUUA
rnacentral:ncRNA from 1 species